rnacentral:rRNA from 1 species
GACGAACCGUGCGAACGUUGUUCGGAAUCACUGGGCUUAAAGGGCGCGUAGGCGGGCCAUCAAGUCCGGGGUGAAAGCCCCCAGCUCAACUGGGGAAGUGCCUUGGAUACUGGUGGUCUUGAGGGAGGUAGGGGUCUGUGGAACUUCGGGUGGAGCGGUGAAAUGCGUUGAUAUCCGAAGGAACGCCGGUGGCGAAAGCGACGGACUGGAUCUCUUCUGACGCUGAGGCGCGAAAGCCAGGGGAG